CAACUAACCGGAUUCCCCUAGUAACGGCGAGUGAAGAGGGAAAAGCCCAGCACCGAAGCCUGUGGCAAUUUUGCUGCUAGGCAAUGUGGUGUUUAGGUCGGCUCGUGGGAUCGCCACUCCACUCGAAGUCCAGCAUUGAGUAUGGUUCCCAGGAAUUGGCCCAUAGAGGGUGAAAGGCCCGUACGAGUGGAUGUGUCAGAUAUGUAAGGCGAUUCACCAGGCCGGCCUUAGAGUCGGGUUGUUUGCGAAUGCAGCCCAAAGUGGGUGGUAAACUCCAUCCAAGGCUAAAUACUAGCACGAGUCCGAUAGCGAACAAGUACCGUGAGGGAAAGUUGAAAAGUACUUUGAAGAGAGAGUAAACAGUACGUGAAACCGCAUAGAGGUAAACGGGUGGCGUCAAGCUGCAAGCCCAGAGAAUUCAGUCGGUCAGGGUGUUGUCAUGCGCCCAGCGCAUCUAUCAGUCGGUGUAGGAUUUGGCUAGUCCGCUUGAAGAUGGCGGGCCCAGCUAGCAAUAGCUGGGAUUUGCGUACCGGGCGGUAGCCGGAGCAUGCUAGCCGUCUGUAGGACUGCCUGGCCGAUGCACUUUCUCUGUUGGUGAACACCACGACCGGUGGUACUGCCAGUCUGCUGUAGCCAGCUUCGUUGCAUACUCUGGCCUUUUGGUUGGGGCGUGUGGCGAUCACAGACAAUUUCAGUGCACGGUGCUUGUGUGUUUUUCGCAUGCGGGCAUGUUAUCGGGAACUGGUUGUAAACGGGUCGGCCUGUCGACUUGUCUGUAGUCGUGGUUGAUGGGUGACCCGGUGGGCUAUGGUGGUAUGAAUAACUGUGCAGGGCACCGGAGUUUUCGGUCCGACCAGCAGUAGUCGUUCGCGGCUGCUGUUGCCGGCUGCAUACGCACUGCAGUUUAGCGUGUGCACUGUCUUUGGCAGUAGUACGGGCGGCGCUGUUUACGGCCUGCCAGUCGUUGGGUCUGAUUGUCGUGUCGCCUGCCAAAAUGGUGGGUCCGGCGGUGGCCUGGCGUUGGAUGGUGCCUGUAGACGGAGCUGUCGUUGUGCAGCCGGUGUUUGUGUGCGCGACCUUAUAGUCUGUGGUGUAGUGGUAGACGAGCUACCCGACCCGUCUUGAAACACGGACCAAGGAGUUUAACAUGCGCGCGAGUCAUUGGGUCCUACGAAACCCAGAGGCGCAGUGAAAGUAAAGCUUCGACAUAUAUUGUUCUCGGGGUGUGGUGAGAUCCUGCUGUUUCUCGCAUACAUUUGUCCAGCACUGGGCUAACUAAACGAGCAGUGGGCGCAUCACCGGCCCGUCCCAUGAUGUGGCUAUCUGUCAGUGGCAGUUGUCGCCUUACGGUGGUGGUUGCUUUCUGCGGGUACGUCAUCGGGGCGGAGCAUGAGCGCGCAUGUUGAGACCCGAAAGAUGGUGAACUAUGCUUGCGUAGGUUGAAGCCAGAGGAAACUCUGGUGGAGGACCGCAGCGAUUCUGACGUGCAAAUCGAUCGUCAAACGUGAGUAUAGGGGCGAAAGACUAAUCGAACCAUCUAGUAGCUGGUUCCCUCCGAAGUUUCCCUCAGGAUAGCUGGCGCUCAUUCGAAAGAUCAGUUUUAUCCGGUAAAGCGAAUGAUUAGAGGUGCUGGGUUCGAAACGAGCUCAACCUAUUCUCAAACUUUAAAUGGGUGAGAUGCCCGGCUCGCCUAAUAGGAGUCGGGCGUUGAAUGUGCGAGUGCCAAGUGGGCCAUUUUUGGUAAGCAGAACUGGCGCUGUGGGAUGAACCAAACGCUCGGUUAAGGUGCCUAACGCUGACGCUCAUGAGAUACCACAAAAGGUGUUGGUCAAUAUAGACAGCAGGACGGUGGCCAUGGAAGUCGGCAUCCGCUAAGGAGUGUGUAACAACUCACCUGCCGAAUCGACCAGCCCUGAAAAUGGAUGGCGCUGGAGCGUCGGACCUAUACCGGGCCGUCACUGCAAGCUGGACUGCUGGCGUAACUGUGUAUGUAUGUGAGCGGCGUGUGGCUGGUUCUUUGAAUCGGUCGCCGACUUGUGUCAUAGUCCAGGCAAGGAGUGCGGUGACGAGUAGGAGGGUCNCCGUGGUGAGCGUGGAAGCUUCGGACGUGAGUCUGGGUGGAGCCGCCACGGGUGCAGUCUUGGUGGUAGUAGCA
rnacentral:rRNA from 1 species